UCGCACACCCGGAGUCUCAAGGACUAGGGCUGCAAGCUCCUCCACGUAUCUGCGAGUAAGCUCCAUUGAAUUCAGUGGGGUUUACUUCUGAGUAGGAUUGCUCUACAAGAGGUUUUAUUGCGGCGUGUGGCCCACCCACCCCCUUUUUUUUGGCACUGGAACCCACUUCUGUCACAGUCUGUUAGCCUUGACGCUCCACAAAGAAAAAGAUAACAUGCCAGGGAGAAAGCUGAACUGAGCCAUUCUCCACACAAGGGAGUUUUGUUUUAAAGAAGAGCAUUCAAGCAAGUCAACUUCUACCUGUUUUUCCCAGCAAGUACUAGUCACUGGAUUCUACUGGAUGGAUUUUACUGAACCUUACAACUUUUGGAAAAUGCCCUUCAGCUUUCUUGAAUGGUGUUCCAUGGUUGCUAUGGGGAAACUGGAAAUGCUGGUAUGCAUGUGUCCUUGUGUCCAACCUCUCAGCAAAGACAUAUAGUUUGAAAUACUGUAUAUGUCUCUUUUCUUUCUCACUCACACAACUAUAAUUAAUUACUCUCCUCUCUGCAAGGCUGAGUGUCGAUGUGGGUGAGACAACAGAAAACCCAGUACGUAGUUCCAUCAUCCAUAAACCACCUCCUCACACCCACAUAUUCUUAGAAGUGCACUUUAAUUAGUUUUUAAACCAGUAGUGUAUUUAUUAUUGGUCUCCACACUCAUAAUUUAUGAGUAAAUCUCAUAAUAAUUUUGUUUUAUACUUCCAAACAGGCCAUACUACUUCACACCCACACUGAAAGUGUCUCAAAAAUAUUUUGUAAAGUUGUUCCACUUUCUGAUUUUAGUUCACACACAUUGUGUUUCCUCAGUAAAUGCAUGAUGGAGAAUUUCCAUUCUAAAUUAAAGUCACCGUCCAGUAGAGAGGACUAAAUAUUAAAAUUACACACAUACCCAACUAUAUUAUUUAUGAACAGCUAAUCCUGACUCUUUGCACACAUCCUUGGAAGGUGUGUGAAGCUUCCCCAGUGAAGCUGGACUCCUGGUAAACCAGCCUGUGUUCAUUGCUUUUUGUAUUUCCUGCAUGCGUACAAUGACACCACACAGUGACCCUGUUUAAUACAUGUUCAAAUCUUAAUGCUUUUGUUCUUUGACAACUGCCUUUCCAUAAUUUCCUCCUAUAGGAAAAGCUACAUUUAUACUGUAUGCCUAUGCAUUUCUAAGUAACACAUAGUGUGAUAUGUGACUGAUAAUGCAUAACUUUAAUAAUAACUGGUUGAGAGCAACAGGAAAUAAUGUAAUCACUGUAUCAUUGAAUUAGUCAUAUUUCUUAGAACUACCAUUUGAAUUAAAUUUACUUUCCUUUGUUACAUGUGGCAUUAACCAUAUGUUCAUACCGAAAACUGUAUGACCCUCCACAGGCCUUCUGUUGUUCCUUAUCAAUCAAUACACCAGAAGUACUGUAAGUUUGCAUAUAUGGAAUGCAGCCUUAAACAAUAGUUGGGGAUGCAACUGUGUAAUGAAAACACCGGCUGUAUAGCCAUGCCGUAUGUAUAACUGUGCAGUCAGAUUUAUAUUUUUCUUGUAUCCUAUCGAAUUUUUAAGGAUUACAACAGUAAUUCAAAGUAGUUAAAUUACUUUUGGACCUCAUGUUCACUGAUGAGUAAAAGUACAGAAGAAAAAUUGAUACUUGAAUAAAGCAAUAUUGUUAUGUA